rnacentral:rRNA from 1 species
UACAGAGGUCUCAAGCGUUGUUCGGAUUUACUGGGCGUAAAGCGCACGUAGGCGGAUCGAUCAGUCAGGGUGAAAUCCCAGAGCUCAACUCUGGAACUGCCUUUGAUACUGUCGAUCUGGAGUAUGGAAGAGGUGAGUGGAAUUCCGAGUGUAGAGGUGAAAUUCGUAGAUAUUCGGAGGAACACCAGUGGCGAAGGCGGCUCACUGGUCCAUUACUGACGCUGAGGUGCGAAAGCGUGGGGAGCAAACAGG